rnacentral:rRNA from 1 species
AACGAACGUUGGCGGCAGGCCUAACACAUGCAAGUCGAGCGAGGACUUCGGUCCUAGCGGCGGACGGGUGAGUAACGCGUGGGAACGUGCCCUUUGCUUCGGAAUAGCCCUGGGAAACUGGGAGUAAUACCGGAUGAGCCCCUUGGGGGAAAGAUUUAUCGGCGAAGGAUGGGCCCGCGUUGGAUUAGGUAGUUGGUGGGGUAAUGGCCUACCAAGCCGACGAUCCAUAGCUGGUUUGAGAGGAUGAUCAGCCACACUGGGACUGAGACACGGCCCAGACUCCUACGGGAGGCAGCAGUGGGGAAUCUUAGACAAUGGGGGAAACCCUGAUCUAGCCAUGCCGCGUGAGCGAUGAAGGCCUUAGGGUUGUAAAGCUCUUUCAGCUGGGAAGAUAAUGACGGUACCAGCAGAAGAAGCCCCGGCUAACUCCGUG